AGACUGUAGCCUAACACUACAUCACAAUGCCUACAUCAUUCACCUCACUUCAUCUCACUAUGUAGGAAAUUUGUCAUCUCACAUCAUCACAAGAAAGGUUUUGCCACAUAGCUGGUGCUGUAACUGAGUCUUCAAAUGGCUGUUUCAUUGUUCUAUCAAGCCAGCUGCUUCCAGAUGAUGGAGAACAUGCUCAGACCAAUGAAUUCCAUGUGCAUGAGCCCAUUGCCACACUUCAUUUGCUAUGAAUUGAGUUCCUUGAUCAGAAACAAUGCUGUGUGGAAUACCAUGACAGUGGAUAAAGCAUUCUGUAAGUCCAUGGAUGAUAAAGUUGGCAGAAGCAUUUUAUGCAGGGAAAGAAAAUUCAUAUCCAGAGCAAGUGUGUACUCCAAUAAGAAUAAAAUGCUGCCCUUCCAUGAUGGAAGCAGUCCAAUGUAAUCAACCUGCCCAGUUUGUUUCUUAACUCAGGCAAAAUAUCCUGCAGGCAGAGCAUCCUGGUGAUGAGAACCAAACUGCCACCUCAAGCAAUAAGGACUGCCGGAGCCAACAAGACCCUGUGUGAUUGACCCCAAGACAGUGAUUAACUUGACCUUCACUACUCACCUGCACAUUGGUACCCACUGAGCUUUGUCCCACAUUUUUCUUAUAUAAACCUGGAAGUAUUUUCAGCAUUUUGGAGACAGUCUUUGAGACAUCAGCUCACUGUCUUCUUGGUGUUGGCCUCACAGAAAUACAUUCCUUUCUGGUUUCUGACUCAUCUCUCUGCCCUUUGGAUUUUGUCAGAGAUGGUUUGGGUCCCUUUGAGCCAGGUGCUGUUGUAGCCCUCCACUCCAGCUACAGAAAUUAAAAAAAAAAAAAAAAUAGGAAACAAUCUAACAAGUAGUUAGAUGGCGGAAAUCACAAACGUGUAAAGGACCAUCUACCAUACUAGCAUGUGAAUGAGAAACUGUAGCCUGGAAAAAAUUUCCAAGAACAGCUUCAUACUAAAAUUCAAAGGUACUGUAUAUCAAACAACAUAAUGAAAGUAAGAGUAUAUGCUCCUGAAAACUGUGUUAAAUAACUCAAAAAAUAACUCUAGUUGAUGCCAAUUCCAUUAAA